AUGAUCAGCUUUCAGUAUUGUUUCAUGGUUUUGUGUUGAUUAAUUUAUUCCUCCAUAAUUGCACUUAGCGUGAUUCUUAAGUGUGUUCUUGUGUGAGUUUCCUGCAGGGAAAGAAAGGGGUAUGGCUAAAGUUGCCACUCGAUCGCUCUGAGUUUGUCCCUAUUGCAGUUGAGGUAUAAAACCAUGUUUGUAAUAAUCUGGUUUUUAAUCCAUACCUUCAAAAUGAAGAUGCUGCUGCAUUGUUGUUUGAAAUUAGGUCCUUUAAAGCAGUGAAUUUAGUGAAUAUAUAUAUUAUUCAUGUGUUUAACGAACAUCUGAAUAUCGACGAGUAUCCUUUUCAUUUUUAAAUGAUUACCGAUCUACCUGAAGCCUGAGUGCUGUAUUUUUGUUUUCUUCCAAAUUUUGUUUGAUCAAUUUGUAUCACAGUUUUUCACCUUCACCUAACAUAGUAGGCUCUGUGUCACAUCAUGGUGCAUAUUGCUAAAAGGAAUCGAUAUCAGAAGAAUAUAACGACUUAUUUCUGGAGAAACUUUGUCAUAUUGGGUGUCAGUAUUACGGUAAGGAUCGUGUAAUGUUUAUUUUUCAGACAGUUAUCAAGAUAUACUUGUUCCAUGUUAAAUAACUAUAAUAGAAACAACAGAUGAUUUUAUGCAAGCCUUUUUGUCUCUUCCAGGGUGACUCGAGACCAGUGGUUGAACACUGAGGAGUUCAUUGAUGCAGUGGCAAAGGAGCUGAGAGCAAGACUCCUGGGCAAAUGAAAUUUGUAAAUUCUACUAAAGAAAUUUGUAAAUCAUUUGUCGCCAAAAUCAUUUGUAAAUGAACACUGAGGAGUUGCUUCUUAUGUCCGUUUGAGUGUGCCUUGGAGUCACUUUUGCAUGCUAUUUUUUCAUUUAUCACCAAAAUGAUUGUUGCUGACUUGCUUCUGAUGUCAUUUUGAGUGUGCCUUCAUGCUACCCCCAUCUAAUGUUUGCUUUUUUGGCAUUGUGCAGUUAGCACAAAACCACUUCUUGAUAACAAAAUGACUGACAGGUUCCCAGUCGCUAUCAUCAUCAUCCUCAUCAUCAUAAUAUUCUUCAAGAUACAAGUCUUGUAAUGUGCUGCUAUUCUGCUUCAGGUUUUCUUCUGCUUCACAACUCUCAUGUUGCCCAUGCAAACAAGCAUUUUCAUUAGCAUUCACAACAUUUCUCGGCCUUUGUGUGGGUUCAUCAGCCAUGCAUUCAGAUAAAUCAGAUUGGUUGGUUCUAGCAUUGCACAGUUCAUCAUUGUCCUCUCCUAAAAGUUUUUGCUCAAGACAGUCUUCACGAAAAUAUAAAGAUCCUUUGCUUCCUUCUGGAGCUGAUUUUCCCUGGCAUUCAUACAACAAAGAAAAGCUGCUUUGGCUCUCUACUCGAUCAACUUGAUUGUGCAUUUUACUCUCCAGAAACACUCUCCUCUGCUGAGUAUUUAGACAAGUUUUUCAGAUGCAACAGAAAUAGGCAUGGAAUUUUCUCCUCGAAGCUGUCAAUGGAAUUUGCACUAUCCACAUAAUUCGGAAAUGGACAGCGUAAACCCAUAUGCAAAUAAUCAGAGCCAGCAGCAAAAGGAAUUAUGCCAAAGAAUGAAAAGGAAACAUAUGAUAGGAACUAGA
rnacentral:lncRNA from 1 species